rnacentral:rRNA from 1 species
UGCGGUUAAAAAGCUCGUAGUUGGAUUUUGGGCGCAGGCGGCCGGUCCGUCGCAAGGCGUGUACUGGCCGUUCCUGGCCUCACCUCCGGUUCUCCGCCGGUGCCCUUGACUGAGUGUCGGCGGCGGCCGGAACGUUUACUUUGAAAAAAUUAGAGUGUUCAAAGCAGGCGAUUCGCCUGAAUAAUGGUGCAUGGAAUAAUGGAAUAGGACCUCGGUUCUAUUUUGUUGGUUUUCGGAGCGCGAGGUAAUGAUUAAGAGGGACAGACGGGGGCAUUCGUACUGUGCCGUUAGAGGUGAAAUUCUUGGAUCGGCGCAAGACGAACGACUGCGAAAGCAUUUGCCAAGAAUGUUUUCUUUAAUCAAGAGCGAAAGUCAGAGGUUCGAAGACGAUCAGAUACCGUCCUAGUUCUGACUAUAAACGAUGCCAACUAGCGAUCGGGGGGCGUUAGUUUUACGACCUCUCCGGCAGCUUGCGGGAAACCAAAGUCUUUGGGUUCCGGGGGAAGUAUGGUUGCAAAGCUGAAACUUAAAGGAAUUGACGGAAGGGCACCACCAGGAGUGGAGCCUGCGGCUUAAUUUGACUCAACACGGGAAAUCUCACCCGGCCCGGACACAGUGAGGAUUGACAGAUUGAGAGCUCUUUCUUGAUUCUGUGGGUGGUGGUGCAUGGCCGUUCUUAGUUGGUGGAGCGAUUUGUCUGGUUAAUUCCGAUAACGAACGAGACUCUGGCUUGCUAACUAGUUACGCGACCCAAUCGGUCGGCGUCUAACUUCUUAGAGGGACUAGUGGCGUUUAGCCACACGAGAUUGAGCAAUAACAGGUCUGUGAUGCCCUUAGAUGUUCGGGGCCGCACGCGCGCUACACUGACCGGAUCAGCAUGUGCUCGCCUUGGCCGACAGGUCUGGGUAACCCGCUGAACCCCGGUCGUGCUAGGGAUAGGGAAUUGCAAUUAUUUCCCUUGAACGAGGAAUUCCCAGU